rnacentral:rRNA from 1 species
GAAUCUGCCUUCUGGUCGGGGACAACCACUGGAAACGGUGGCUAAUGCCGGAUGAGCCGAAGGGUAAAAGAUUAAUUGCCAGAAGAGGAGCUCGCGUCUGAUUAGCUAGUUGGUGGGGUAAAAGCCUACCAAGGCAUCGAUCAGUAGCUGGUCUGAGAGGACGAUCAGCCACACUGGGACUGAGACACGGCCCAGACUCCUACGGGAGGCAGCAGUGGGGAAUUUUCCGCAAUGGGCGAAAGCCUGACGGAGCAAGACCGCGUGAGGGAAGAAGGCUCUUGGGUCGUAAACCUCUUUUGUCAGGGAAGAACACAAUGACGGUACCUGACGAAUCAGCCUCGGCUAACUCCGUGCCAGCAGCCGCGGUAAUACGGAGGAGGCAAGCGUUAUCCGGAAUUAUUGGGCGUAAAGCGUCCGCAGGUGGCGAUUCAAGUCUGCGGUCAAAGACUGGGGCUUAACCCUGGAAAGGCCGUGGAAACUGAAAAGCUAGAGUGCAGUAGGGGUAGAGGGAAUUCCCGGUGUAGCGGUGAAAUGCGUAGAGCUCGGGAAGAACAUCGGUGGCGAAAGCGCUCUGCUGGACCUUAACUGACACUGAGGGACGAAAGCUAGGGGAGCG